rnacentral:rRNA from 1 species
UGCAAGUCGAGGGGUAACGGGGAAGCUUGCUUCCGCCGACGACCGGCGCACGGGUGCGUAACGCGAAUACAAUCUACCUUGUACUGGGGUAUAGCCUUUAGAAAUGAAGAUUAAUCCCCCACAGUCUCUUAGAGUGGCAUCACUUCUAGAGUAAAGGUUACGGUAUAAGAUGAGUAUGCGUUCUAUUAGUUUGUUGGUGUGGUAACGGCACACCAAGACUACGAUAGAUAGGGGCCCUGAGAGGGGGAUCCCCCACACUGGUACUGAGACACGGACCAGACUCCUACGGGAGGCAGCAGUGAGGAAUAUUGGACAAUGGAGGCAACUCUGAUCCAGCCAUGCCGCGUGCAGGAAGACUGCCCUAUGGGUUGUAAACUGCUUUUAUACAGGAAGAAACACCUCUACGUGUAGAGGCUUGACGGUACUGUAAGAAUAAGGAUCGGCUAACUCCGUGCCAGCAGCCGCGGUAAUACGGAGGAUCCAAGCGUUAUCCGGAAUCAUUGGGUUUAAAGGGUCCGUAGGUGGAUAACUAAGUCAGAGGUGAAAUCUUGCAGCUCAACUGUAAAAUUGCCUUUGAAACUGGUUAUCUUGAGUUAUUAUGAAGUAGUUAGAAUAUGUAGUGUAGCGGUGAAAUGCAUAGAUAUUACAUAGAGUACCAAUUGCGAAGGCAGAUUACUAAUAAUUAACUGACACUGAUGGACGAAAGCGUGGGUAGCGAACAGGAUUAGAUACCCUGGUAGUCCACGCCGUAAACGAUGGUUACUAGCUGUUUGGACUUCGGUCUGAGUGGCUAAGCGAAAGUGAUAAGUAACCCACCUGGGGAGUACGUUCGCAAGAAUGAAACUCAAGGAAUUGACGGGG